AAGUCGUAACAAGGUCUCCGUAGGUGAACCUGCGGAGGGAUCAUUAACACAGUAUAUACUUUACAUAGUAUAUCAACCAACGGUAACCUGUUUUUUCCCGGAUCUAACAGUUCUCCAUACUUUCGAGUGUGGAUAGAGCAGGGUGUAACGUCAGUCUAUGGUACGAGGGUACCUGUAUAUAUCAGAGUUUUAGACACUGAUUAUUUUAUGGAUGAUCCUCUGCUGGCUUUGCUAUUAUACCUUUGAGUAUAUGCCCAUGUUAGUGAAGGCCGAUCGUGAGUUAGGAGUCUCAGAUACCAUGAGAUGAAUAACCUACACCUUUUAUUCUUACUCACCUUUUGCUAAUUAUGACUGAUACUUAGUUAGUUUGAAAAAACUAGCUAAACCUUCUAAAUAUAUACAACUCUUAGCAAUGGAUGUCUUGGCUUCCG
rnacentral:misc_RNA from 1 species